GACGAACGCUGGCGGCGUGCUUAACACACGCAAGUCGAACGGAAAGGCCCUGCUUUUGUGGGGUGCUCGAGUGGCGAACGGGUGAGUAACACGUGAGUAACCUGCCCUUGACUUUGGGAUAACUUCAGGAAACUGGGGCUAAUACCGGAUAGGAGCUCCUGCUGCAUGGUGGGGGUUGGAAAGUUUCGGCGGUUGGGGAUGGACUCGCGGCUUAUCAGCUUGUUGGUGGGGUAGUGGCUUACCAAGGCUUUGACGGGUAGCCGGCCUGAGAGGGUGACCGGCCGCAUUGGGACUGAGAUACGGCCCAGACUCCUACGGGAGGCAGCAGUGGGGAAUAUUGCACAAUGGGCGGAAGCCUGAUGCAGCAACGCCGCGUGCGGGAUGACGGCCUUCGGGUUGUAAACCGCUUUCGCCUGUGACGAAGCGUGAGUGACGGUAAUGGGUAAAGAAGCACCGGCUAACUACGUG
rnacentral:rRNA from 1 species